CACAUCUAAGGAAGGCAGCAGGCGCGCAAAUUACCCAAUCCUGACUCAGGGAGGUAGUGACAAGAAAUAACAAUAAACCGGCUUAUGCCGGUUUAAUUGGAAUGAGUACAAUUUAAACAUCUUAACGAGGAACAAUUGGAGGGCAAGUCUGGUGCCAGCAGCCGCGGUAAUUCCAGCUCCAAUAGCGUAUACUAAAGUUGUUGCAGUUAAAAAGCUCGUAGUUGGAUUUCUGUGGGGACGGAGCGGCCGGCCGCAACACGCGGUUCGAGCUAGCGCUUUCCCUACAUCCUGCCGCGAACCGUGCUACCAUUAGUUUGGUGGCGCCGGGGAUCGGCUCGAUUACUUUGAGAAAAAUAGAGUGUUCAAAGCAGGCCACACGCCUUGAAUAAGUUAGCAUGGAAUAAUAACUAAGGACUUCGGUUCUAUUUUGUUGGUGUUCGGGACUGAAGUAAUGAUUGAUAGGGACAGUUGGGGCGGUCUGUAUUCCAAGGCGAGAGGUGAAAUUCUUAGACCUUCGGAAGACAAACAGCUGCGAAAGCGUUCCGCAAGGAUGUUCCCUUUGAUCAGGAACGAAAGUUGGGGGAUCGAAGACGAUCAGAUACCGUCGUAGUCUCAACUAUAAACUAUACCAGCUAGGGAUCGGCCAACGUUAUUUCAUACCGACUUGGUCGGCACCUUAUGAGAAAUCAAAGCAUCUGGGUUCCGGGGGGAGUAUGGUCGCAAGGCUGAAACUUAAAGGAAUUGACGGAAGGGCACCACCAGCCGUGGAGCCUGUGGCUUAAUUUGACUCAACACGGGAAAACUUACCAGGUCCAGACAUAGUAAGGAUUGACAGAUUGAUAGCUCUUUCUUGAUUCUGUGGGUGGUGGUGCAUGGCCGUUCUUAGUUGGUGGAGUGAUUUGUCUGGUUAAUUCCGUUAACGAACGAGACCCCAGCCUGCUAAAUAGCGCGCGUGAGCUUUGCUCGCGGCGAGCUUCUUAGAGGGACUCUGAUGCGCGAUAGCACAUGGAAGUUUGGGGCAAUAACAGGUCUGUGAUGCCCUUAGAUGUUCUGGGCCACACACGGGCUACACUGGCGCCUGCAACGAGCAUAUCAGCUGGCCCGAGAGGGUCUUGGCUAAUCUUUUGAACCGGCGCCGUGCUUGGGAUUGACCUUUGCAAUUGUUGGUCAUGCAACGAGGAAUGCCUUGUAAACGCGAGUCAUCAGCUCGCAUUGAAUACGUCCCUGCCCUUUGUACACACCGCCCGUCGCUCCUACCGAUGAAUGUUCCGAUGAAAUUUUCGGAGAGCACCUGUGAACUUGGCUCUGCCUUGCGAACGGGAGGCUCAAAGUCACUUAAAUCUGAACAUUUCGA
rnacentral:rRNA from 1 species